CUGGCAGUUUGCCUGCCUCUUUCACUCCUCCCCCUAAAGACCAAGGACUUUUACUUAUACUGACUCUGGCUGAUCCUGAGGUCUCCAGAGAGCUAGUUUGGAUUUAACAUACAAGAAACACAUUUAAGGCAGAAAGAUAUAGUCAGAGUAAAGGGUGCUCUGUUAUGCUCAAACUGCAUCCAUAUGAGAUAGCAGCCGGAGGACCUCAAAACCGAGGUCGAUAUCUGCUCUUAGGGCAAAGGGUAUUUUGUCUCAAGCUUCCUCUACAGGCAAAAGCAGCUUUAGGCUGCCACCAAGCUAAUUCAAGCAAGUACCAAUGGUCUUGUAAUGGAGAGAGCCAUUUGCACCCACAGAGAAGAUUGUGGGGAACCAAAUGUGGAAUACAACAUCAUAUUUUCACUUUUUUGUUGUUGUUUGCU
rnacentral:lncRNA from 1 species